UGCCUGAAGGACUAGUGGUCAGGCCACGGCGCUCUUAACGCCGUGGCCCGGGUUCGAUUCCCGGGCAGGGAA